rnacentral:lncRNA from 1 species
AACUGUCCCUUCAUAGCCGAUGGGAAGAACAUGUUGAUCAGAACAUGCUUUUGUGAACAUGGUUUACCAUUAAGGAGCCACACCCACCAUUCAAUCUAAUUAGAUCUGCUCAACAACAUUGGGUGACAGGAGCUGUGGCAGCAUCUCCAGACUAUGGUAGUUAGCCAAGGAUGAGGAUGCAUCCCUGCACCACUACUGGCUGACGGCAGCCAUAUCCUGCUGGGCACAAAGUUGGCUGAAACUGAUGGUGUAAAAGUCCACCGGCAAAGAGGGGAAGCCAGACCACAUGCAGAGACUAACCAUCCGGUCAAAUGAGGAUGAAGAGGUUUUGUUCCUAUUGUGGCCACUAACCAAGAAACAUUCCAUGCCAUCUAGAAAGAGGCACAGACCAUGUGACUGUUAAAUCUGGACUCUCAGUUUGAUGAGAUUGAGGACCUCAAAGGGAGACAGCUCUUUGAGGGUGUCUGUGAGGAAGUUUUUUUGGCUGGGUGAACUGAGUUGGGAACCACACACUAAUGUGGGCAGCACCAUCCUAUGGGCUGAAGCCAAUCUGAAUAAAAGAGAGAAAGUGAAUCC